GGCAUGCCUUACACAUGCAAGUCGAACGCGAAAGUGUCUUCGGACAUUAGUAGAGUGGCAAACGGGUGAGUAACGCGUGGGAAUCUACCUUAUAGUACGGGAUAGCCUCGGGAAACUGGGAUUAAUACCGUAUACUCCCUUCGGGGGAAAGAUUUAUCGCUAUAAGAUGAGCCCGCGUCAGAUUAGCUAGUUGGUGGGGUAAAAGCCUACCAAGGCAACGAUCUGUAGCUGGUCUGAGAGGACGAUCAGCCACACUGGGACUGAGACACGGCCCAGACUCCUACGGGAGGCAGCAGUGGGGAAUAUUGGACAAUGGACGCAAGUCUGAUCCAGCAAUGCCGCGUGAAUGAUGAAGGCCUUAGGGUUGUAAAGUUCUUUUAGUGGGGAAGAUAAUGACGGUACCCACAGAAAAAGCACCGGCUAACUUCGUGCCAGCCGCCGCAGUAA
rnacentral:rRNA from 1 species